CAAGGUCAUCUUCGGUCUCACGUAGUGUGCUCAAGGCUCAUUUGGAUAAACGUGCUUGGUGCCACGCCUGGCUGACUUCUGUACCCUGACUACCUUGUACAUGCUCAUCUUUCUUUCACACCAACAACCACCCAGUCAGCAUCUGAGCGUUUCUAGGUGGUGGGUGACAGCCCCGUGCCAUGCACACGGAUCUGCACAGGACCGCACAGCCUGAUGGAUGACGCCGGUGUACAUUCUGAGACUUUAAGCAACUAGGGUAUUUGGUGCGACACAGCUGUGUGAUGGCCUGUCCUCCAUGUGUCUCACUCAGGGAGAUGCUCUGGGGAUGAGCAACUGACUAGGAUUUUGCCCUGCUCUGCCCUGUUACCCUGCCAUGAGCCUUCAUACUUACCUACUGACCGGAGAGAAAGUGUCCAUGAGCGCAAAGCCAAGCUCUCCACGGUUCAGGGUCUUAGGUAGCCCAGGUAGACUUCAAACUCACUAUGUAGCUGAACUCCGGAGGUUCAUGGCUUCACUUCUGAAGUGCCAGGAUGAGAUGUGUGUGCAGCUAUGCUCAGCUUGUGCAGAGCUGUGGAUGCUCGGACAUCUGAUAUUCCACCCCUGUGAAAGGAUUGUUCGAUCCCCAAUGGGGCCGAGACCCACAGGUUGGGAACUGCUGAUCUCGAACCACCCUUGAGUCGAACCUCUAGGUACAGAAGUGCGACAUUAUCUAGAUCAGUCUUUGUCUCUUUCUGGCGAGUCUCUGCCAGUGCUGCUGUCGCUGGGUCUGUUGCCAUCAUCCUUCCUUGACAUCAGAACCCGGUUUCUUUGGACAUUUAGCCUGGGCUGAAGAGCCAUGACUAUCCAAGAAUCCUCCUUGCCUUUGGCACCAGGUUGGGAUGGGUGAGGCAUGUGACUUCAUGGACUGAGCAGGCCCGGCAUCCUCACUUUCUACAGUGUGAAGACAGCCACUGUUGGAACAUCUAGCCUUUAUCGUGCAAGCUAAUUGAAUAAAGUCCCAUUUUCAUGUGCA